GACGUAGGAUGCGAGCGUUGUCCGGAUUUAUUGGGCGUAAAGAGUUCGUAGGUGGUUUGUUAAGUCUGAUGUUAAAGACUGGGGCUCAACCCUGGAUAUGCAUUGGAUACUGGCAAACUUGAGUGUGGUAGAGGCUAGUGGAAUUCCCAGUGUAGCGGUGAAAUGCGUAGAUAUUGGGAAGAACACCGGUGGCGUAGGCGACUAGCUGGGCCAUAACUGACACUGAGGAACGAAAGCCAGGGUAG
rnacentral:rRNA from 1 species